rnacentral:rRNA from 1 species
CUUUUUGAUAAUAAUUUAAAGACUAACCUGCCCACUGAUUUAAUUAAAUGGCCGCGGUAUUUUGACCGUGCAAAGGUAGCAUAAUCAUUAGUUUUUUAAUUGAAAGCUGGAAUGAAAGGUUGAAUGAAAAAAUUACUGUCUCUUUUUAAUUAGAGUAGAAUUUUAUUUUUAAGUUAAAAAGCUUAAAUAUAAUUAGAAGACGAGAAGACCCUAUAGAGUUUAAUAGGUAGAUUUUAUAUAAUUUUUAGAUUUAAAAUUUAUAUUUAAUUUUAUUUAUUUAAUUGGGGBGAUUAAAAAAUUAAAUAAACUUUUUUUGUAUAAUUACAUUAAUUUAUGAAUAUUUGAUCCUUAAAUAAAGAUUAAAAGACUAAAUUACCUUAGGGAUAACAGCGUAAUUUUUUUUUAGAGUUCAAAUUAAAAGAAAAGAUUGSSACCUCGAUGUUGGAUUAAAAUUAAUUUAAGGUGUAGAAGCUUUA